ensembl:lncRNA
GGGUUCAAGUUCGAAAUAAGCACAAAAAUAUAAUUCCAUAAGCUUUAGUGAAUAAGUAUUCCUUAUGCAUGAGAAUUUGGACUUUUUGAAGCUUCACAUAAAUUCGCGUCACUUGGGAGUCGAACCCGCGCAGAAAUUCAAGACUGACGCGCUACCUCCACUCUAGCACUCAGUCACGGAGACACAAUGCGCAACAGUAAGCAUUGUCUACAUAAGGUCCAAAAGGACGAUCAAAUAACGAACACCCUCUGAUCUGUAUCUCUCAUGGAGAACCCCAAUUUCGUUGUUUGCACAAUGACAAUAAAGUCUGAAAUCUGAAUAUCGUCGGACAAUGCCAAGGGAUCGGUUCUGUCUGAGAAGCCCCUGACUGCAGCCCGCAGACGGAGUCCACAUGGAGGGGGCCGGCACUCCGCCCACAUGGAGGGGGCGGAUACUCAUGCUGCGUUCGAGUAUUCACUGCGAACCGACUCGGAUCUCGGAUCUGACGCCACGCCCGUCCACAUCGAGGGGGCGGCCACUCAGUUCACAUUGAGGACUGGUCAAACAGCAUUUCUGAUCCCGUUUCUGACCUGAAAUUAGCUGAAAUGUACCUGAAAUUACCUGAAAUUAGAGUGUGCCCGCCCGAGCGAGUGAUGCCUAAAACAUGCAAAGACACGUCAGUGUAAUUGUGAAUGGCGAGAGCCCUGAAAUACAGCUGGACAGCAGCGGUCUACAUCACUGCCCCUUCUGCAGAUACAAAGGGUCAAAAUGUGAUAUCGACCAUCACAUUAAAUGCCAUGCCUCGGUUAAAUACAGAGGUCUGCAGAGGAGCUUUCAGGAAGCAGGAAGAGAAGACGGGAGGAAAAAAAGCUACAGGUUAAAGAUCUCUGCACAAAAAGGGCUAGAGUUGCUCCAACAGCAUCCAGCUCUGAAGGAUCAGGUCAUGUAUAGACUGUUAAUCCAGGAAGAUUAUGUUGUCCUGAAGGACACAAUUCAGGCAGCAGCAUGGUGCCAGUUACAGUCCUUCAAGGACAGCGUUUCUCUCCCAGAGGUCAUUGGGAUGGAAGGUUGGGAGCAGAUGGCAGCAUCAACACAGCGCAAAUCCCAUGACGGCGGGGAUGAGGAAGAAACGUGGAAACCAUUCCAAUUCUCAUUCAGAUUACAUACUGACUAUGAACUGUUCUGUGUGGAGAUAAUGGACAGGAAAAACCUGAAGGUGUUUGCCUCUUUUGAGUCAAGAAACCUCUCCCCCUCCCCGUCCCCCCUCCCGUCCCCCCUCCCGUCCCCCUCCCUGUGACGCCUGCGCCACACGACUCCAAUGUAGUCUGAUGAUGCAGCAUAAUGGCGGCGCUUGGUAGCUAUGGCGGCGGUGACGGCGAUGUCGGGCGACAGAGCGUGAAGCAAGAGUGGCGUCCACCUCACUGAGGAAGGCGUCAGUGUGUCCCCCCCCCCCCCCCCCCACCCGUUGAGACUUUGUUUGUUGUACUCUUUAUUGAUUUAUAUUUUAUGUUUAUAGUUUACAAUCUAUUUUUUGUAGUUAUUUUUUAAUUGUUUUGUUGAAUAAAAAGACUGUUGUUAGUGCUCCUGUGAUUGGUGUAACUUAAUGUGCUUCACACAUGUAGCUUUUCAUUAUGUCUAUUGAGGUACAUUUUUUGCCCUUAGAUGUGGUCACUUCGUUAUUCCUCAGAUUACAUCUGUUAAGGUCAUACCUUUGGGUCCCAGUCUUCAAAGUUCCCCAAAUCUUAUUUUGGCUCUUACUGGGCCUGUAACUCUCACAGACAGACGGGUACAGGAGUUCGGACACGUUGCAUUGUUUACAGGCAAGGGUGGAUUACCGCACGGGCACACCGGGC